ACAAAGGAUAGUUACUCUAGGGAGAAUAAAAGGGUAUAGAAGAAAGGAAACAUAAUAGCAUACCAUUUGGCUGGUAGUAAAAGAUACUGACAGCCAUCAAAAUGUAGAGUGUGGAAGGGGGAGCUCAGGAGGCCUCAGCCCUACACAAAGAACUACAGGUAAGUUAGGAAUGCUGAGAGUGGGAGAAACAGUCUUCCUCAGAAAAGAGCACACCAAUUGGUUAUGUAAUUCCAAAUGGUCAGUCCCCAAAAUAUACACACAUUAUAAUUAUGAGGACCAAACAGGUUGUACUUAGAUAUUUAGAAACACACACACAACAACAACAACAAUUAAUGAAAAAAGAGGCCAUGAUAUUCAUGGUAAUAUUUGGAGGGAGAAAAGAGAAGACAGAAAUGAUGUCAUUAUUUUAUAAUAUCAAAAAAUUAUUUUUUUUACAAAUGUGAAGUGUAAUAGUGCUCUAACUAUUGCAGCAAUGAAGGUUAAUAGGUGAGUCCAUGUGUGUGAAUGAUGGCAUUGCAUUAUUGACAAUGUGACCACUGUUUUAAUUCUCUAUAUUACAAUUAUUCAUUUCUGUUGUAUAAACCUUUCAGAUUGCAAACACUUCAAGCCCUCUAUUACUAAGAAAAUUAAACCAAAAUCAAAAUAAAAUGAACCAACGACCAAGCCAAAUAAAGUACAUCUCUCAUGCUUAAUAAUACUUCAGCUCACCGUUCCAUUUCUCGCCUCCUCCUUAUCAAAAUCUAAUGUCUUGAAAGAAAAAAAUGGUUUCUAUUUACUCCCUGUAUUUUCUCUGAAAAAAGCUAUUUCCUCUGCAAAAUAAGGUAGUUUGGCAAGGUUUCAGGGCACAAGACCUAUAUACAUAAAAUCAAUUAUCUUCCUAUAAGAUAUCUAUUUUCUAAAAGAUUAUCCAAAGACUCAAUAUAAUCCCAAUCAAAUUCCAGUACAGAGUUUCAUAAAAAUGGUCAAGACUCAAAUAUCUAUAUUCUAACAUAGAUAUAAAAUAUAUCUUCAUAUAUAUGUAUAUAUAUAUAUAUAUAUCCAAAGGACCUAGAAUAUGAAAAUAAUUUUGAAAAAAGAAAACAGUUUUAGAAACAGCAAAAUUUGAGUAAUAAUACUGAUGCUAAGGCUUACUAUUAAACUAAACUAAUCUAGACAGUGUGGUAUUAUGUAUGAAUAGACAUAUGAAUUUAACAUAUACAUUCAAAUUAUUUUUAACAAAAAACACCGUAGAGAUUCAGCUGAAUAUCUUAACACACAAACUGAACCCAUAGCGUUACUUCGCAUUAUAUAAAAAAUGGAUCAUACAUCUAAGUGUAAAGCCUGAACUUACAAACUUCUAUAAGAAACAUCAUGACUAGACAGAUGGAUCAGCAGUUAAGAGCACUUGCUGCUCUUGCAAAAGACCAGAGUUCAAUUCCCAGCACCCACUCAAUGAGUCACAGCCGUCCAUAACUCUGGUUUCAGAGGAAUGGACAUUCUCUUUUGACCUCUGUGGGAACCAGGCACACCCAUGGAGCACAUAUACACAUUCAGGUCAAACACGUGUACAUACAAAAUAAAUAAAUCUACUUUUAAAAUAAAAGAAACAUAAUAGGAGGGGCUGGAGAGACAGUACUUCAACUAUAAAUCUCUAGUGGGAUCUAAACUAAGAGAAAAAUAAUUACAAAUAAAUCAACAAAUGCUUAAACCAUCCUCAAUGUAUCAGCAAAGAUAGUUCUCAUUUACCAUCUGGCCCUGAAGUGUAUUUUUUUAUUUAGGUAAUCUUGCAAAAAUGUAUAGCAGUCAGAGCAAAAGCACAAUGAAAAAUAACAUCGAACAUUUAGUGAAACUCGGGGUGCUUCAGUUGGUAGAGUGCUUACUCAGCUUUCAAGAAACUGAGUUCCAUGCCCGCAUGGAACAAAAGAAAAAAACCAGAUGUGGUGGUACGUACCUAUAAACCCAGCUCUUGGGAGGUAGAGGCAGGAAGAGCAGAAGUUCUAGACCUUUCUCUGCUACGUAGCAAGCUUGAGGACAGCCUGGGAUGCAUGAGACCCUGUCUCUAAAAAGCAAUGACAACUGUAUUUGUUACUUUUCUAUUGUGAUAAAACAUGGUGACCAGCGCAACUCAUGAAAAAAAAAAUCAUUUCAUUGGGCUUACAAUUUCCGAGGAUUUAAGAGUCCAUCAUGGCAGGACAGCAUGGCAGAAAGAAGUAGGCAUGUUGGUUGGCACAAUAUCUGAGCGCUCCCAUCGCAAAACUGCAAACAGAAAGCAAAGAGGCAGACUGGGAAAGGCCUAGUCUUUUGAAACUUCAAAGCCCACUCCCUCUAACAAGGCCACACCUCCUAAUCCUCCCCAGACUGCCAACAACUGGAGAUCAAGUCUCAAUGCUGGAGACUUAUGGAGGACAUUUUAUUCAAACCACCACCACCACCACCACCACCACAUUUAAGAAGAUGCUUGAUAUAACAAUCCAUUUGUAUAAUGUGAAGCUUGACAUAAAUCUUGAACAAUACAGAAUAUGCUCUCAUGGCCUUUUGUCAAAAAGUACUUCCUAUUAAACAACUCAUUCUUUUUAAUGUGUAGCCUUUUGUAUCCUUUGUUAUUCUUUUUUGUCUUUUAAAAUAUAUUGUUCAAUUAUUCCUGAGUCUGAAAAAAAUCAUCUACGAUAUCUCCAUCUGAGAUUUCACUGACGUAAUCAGUUUUGUUCUCAUUAGAGUCUUGAGUGCUGUUAUCUUUGUUUCAGUAUUCACAUUCUGAUUCAACUAAUAAUUGUAAAACAUGCCCUUUUGUCAAUUUCCUUCUUUUUGCCAUUAUAGGAAGAAAAAUUAAAAGAAAAUCUUUAUUCUCGAAUGAUUUUAUUAAAAGCUAAGAAGAUGCUAUAAAACAAAAACAAAACAGCAUUGAAAAACAUCUGAUGCCUAUGAGUAAAAUGAAGAAAAACAUUCAAGGCCUCUAAACAGACAAUUCUAAAGCAAUUUAUGAAAGGGAAUAAGAGAGACCCAAAUAAAUGGGCAGGUUAUAAAUAUGUCAGUAUUUUAAAGAAAUCAGUUCCUGCUGAUUUGAUCUGUAGAUUCAAGACAAUGUCAAAAAUGUUCACAUGUGGACAUUGACAAGCCAAUUCUAAAAUCUGUACGUGCUUUAGUUACUUCCCCCUUAUUACAACGAAAUAGACACCAAGGAGGAGCUACAGCAGGAGAGGCCUAUUUUUAGCUCAUGCUUAGAGGGCGUACCGUCCAUAAAGGUGGGGAAAGCAUGGCAACAGGUUCUGGGGAAAUGUGGCAGCUGGUGACAUCUAUCACCAGCCAGCAAUCAGAGAGAGGUGAAAGUUUCUGCUCUUCUUUUUAUUCAUUCUGGACACCAGCCCUUGGGAUGAAGCCACCUUCAUUCGGGGUGGGAAUCUUCCCUCCUCCGUUAACCCUUUCUAAACCUCCCCCCACCCCAGAGACAUGCCCAGAGGCAUGUUUCCAUGGUGAUUCUAAAUUGACUCAAAUUGACAGUGAAGAUUAGCCAUCACACUGUAGAAAUUAAGAAAAUCAAGACUAGCUAAGGCAGUCUUGAAAAAGGUCAAAAUAAGUCUUCAUAUCAGAGAUCAAGCUUCGUGGAUAGAAUUAAGAUAAUGCCAUAUUGACACAGUAUAGAACAGAAUAAGGACUCUAAAACAAAACCCAAAAUAUGUCAGAGAAACUAUUGUAGUUCAGUGGGGGAGGGGAGUCUUUUCAAUAAAUAUAGUGCUUUUCAGAAAAUCAUCACUUGCUUAUCCAUUGAAGGGAGAGUGUAUGUUAAGCUCUUCCUCAUACUACAUACAGAAAGGAAUUCCAGAUAAUUUGCAAAUACAAAUGUGAAAGGUAAAUCAAGAAAUCUUCCAGGAAAAGGUUUAGUAGAGUAUCUUUACAGAAUAUACACGUGGAAGGUGCUCUCAAAACUGGGAAAAUCUGAGUUUAAAAACGUGAUAAUUGGCUGGGUGGUGGUGGUGCACGCCUUGAAUCUCAGCACUUGGGAGGCAGAGGUGGAUGGAUCUCUGUGAGUUCAAGGCCAGCGUGGUCUACAAAGCAAGUUCCAGGACAGCCUGGGCUGUUACACAGAGAAACCCUGUCUCGAACCGCCCCCCACCCCAAAAAACCCAGCCAACCAAACACACACACAGACACACAAAAAAAGCAUAAUAACAAUGAAUUACAACUUACAGAAUAAAAAUAAGUAGACAUGGGUCUAUAUUGCUGUAAACAAAUAAUUGAAUUAAACCAGCAUGAGGAAGAUAUCUCUUUCUUAUAAAAGAAUCCCAAUUAUUAAAUACAGAAGCAAUAACUGAAAUACAUAAUCACCAUAGGCAAACAACACAGUAAUAAUUAUUGCAAGCAAGAAGCAUUUGUGGACCAAAAUGAGUGGGAGUUUAAGGAGAAUCAGGGUAUUAGAGUACUCUCAAAAUAUCUUCCCCAAAUUCUCAAUAAUCACAAAAGUGAAAAACAGCAACUUCUUGGUGGUGAAACCUAGCAAACAACACAUUUACCAAUGAUCUAGGUUACUUUCACCAAUAAUAAAGGAUAUUGGCAUCAUGUACCUUGAUGUGAUAUGCUGGGAAAGGCACAAUAUUACAUGUGGUGUCUUGCAAAAAAUAUAAAUAAUGGCAAGCUGAUCAUGAGAAAAGAUAGAAGGGCUGGAGGAGUCAGUAGCUUGUACCUGGCGCUCAGAAUCGAAAUAAGGAGAGAGACACACAUACACCCAAAGCAGGGAAUAGUGGGAAAUUUUCAAAUGGACAAACUCCAAUAGAACUAAAGAGCAGGAGCGACUGAAUUUGAAAUUACCAUUGGGGGAAAAAACCCUGAAAUGUCAAGCCCUUCUUCAGUACUUCCUCAUAAGGGUAUCAGAAGCAGCAUGUCAUAUUAAGCUUGAUAUAUGACAGAUAACUGUGGAAAUCUUUGUGCAGGAAUACAAAUUGAUUCACUUAUAGUUCAUCUGAACUUUGAAUCGACACACAUUUUUCAUUGAUUUUUCUCCCUCAUUUUAACCAUCCCAUUUCCACCUACUUCUAGUACCACCCACAUACUAAGCAUGAUUGACUCAUGCAUGUGAAUUAAACUAUCAUUGUACACAGUUUUGCUUUGUCUUUUUCAAUGGCAUUCCUCUCAAUUUGAACAUUUCAACUUGAUCAUUUCGAACAGCUUUGGUAUUUUCUUGUCACUUUGAAAUAUCAUGUACACCUUCACUAUAAACAGUUGCUGAGAUUAUCCUGUGAACUCGUGGCUAUUAGCACAGUCUAUCACACUUUGAACUUCAUAUGUAGAGAUGUAGAGAGCACACACUGGUCCAGUGCCUGAGGUUCAGUAAAUAAUACUGACAGAAAAUAUUAAAGGAUUCAGUCCCGUGUUUAAUUGUACUUCAAGUACAUGAAAUAUUUUUCUAAUAAAGUCCUGGGGAGCUGUUUUCUAGCUGUAUCAAAGAGAAUGCAGGGUAGACAAUGGCUUAAAUAGCAGUACAUUUAUUUUAGUUAGAAGCAGGCAAGAAGUCAGAGAUAUGGGCUUUGUGGUAAGGGAACUGAAGGCUUGGAGAUCCAUAGCAUAAAGGAGUGGUGUAAUUGGAAAGUAUUUCAGGUAAGUGGUUAAAAACAAAAAUGUGUCUGCUCUUGCUUACUGCUAAUGUCACUACAAACAAAUCACCUAACUUUCAUCAUUCUUUCUCCUCAUUCCCAAAAUGACAUGAUAAGCUUAAAUUUUAGUUUUUUUUAAACUAUGUUAGCUACAUCAAAUGAAUUCUUUCUUGAAAGAAAUUCUCUUGCAAGAUGCAUGGUCAAUUAUGCUUUGCAAUGUAACACAAUAGUAUUCAAGGUUAUAACAGCUGCCAUGUGAAUCUUGCCUUUUCCAUUUGCUGUUUAUUUUUUGACUGAAAUGCAUUGUCACAUUUUUUUCUCUGUAAAAUAAAAGUUUGAGCCAAGCAAGAUGGUACGUGCCUAUAAUCCCAACACUCCGGUGACCGAGGCAGGAGGACUACAAGUUCAAGGCUAGCUUGGGUUACACAAGCUUUGUCUCAAAAAUUAAAUAAAUAAAAGAAUGCUUGUUAUAGAUCGUUAUGCCUUAUGAAUACAGAUGUAAACAUCCUCAACAAAAUACUUACAAAUGAAGCAUUUUAAAGGAUUGUGUACCAUGACUAAGUGGAUUUUAUCCUAGGAAUGCAAAAGCUGUUCAAUACAAGGAAAUCAAUCAAUAUAAAACAUCACAUUAAUAAAAGGAAGGCUUUUUUUAAAAAUCACAGUUACACAAGGAGACAUUUGCAAGAUAGCAAAAUGACAACUUACAGGGAGAGGGAAAGUAUUUACAAGUUAUCUAUCCAGUAAGGCUAGAGUGGUCAGAAGAUGUACAGAACCGCCUAAUGUAAAGAGACGGGCCAUUUAAAGAUGGAUGGAAUAUUUAAAGAGACAGUUCCCCAAAGAAUAUCUGUAAAUGGGCAAUAAGCUCACAGAUUGAUACCCAACCUCUUCUAGUAGUUAGGAAAUUCAAAACCACAGUGAGGUUUCCACACCUGUUAUGUUGUCUAUUAUAAACAAAAAUAAAACACAAACAAAAUAUAACAAAGUUUGGGGAGGGUAUGGAGAAAUUGGCUUAACGUACAGAACAUUUUAUAUCUCAGUAGUGAGAAUAUGAAGCGAUGCAGUCAUUGUGUAAAACAGUGUGACAGUUCCUCAAAAAUUGAAUAUAGUAUGAUUAUAUGACUGAAUAAUUUCACUACUAGUUACAUAGUCAAAAUAAUUGAAAACAGGGACUCAAAUGAAUACAUGGAAUUCUCAUUUUCAUAGCAAUACUAUUUAUAACAUCCAAGAGGCCCAAAUGUAUGUCAAUGAAUGGUUAGCUAAACAAAUUGCUGUGUAUUCAUACAAUGGAAUAUUAUUCAGCCAUAAAAUAGAAUGAAGCAGUGAUGCAUACUACAAUGUGUAGACAAAUCUCAAAAAUCAUGGAAAGACUCCAGAUACAAAAAGUUCUGUGCUAUGUGAUGAACUUACAUGAAAUAUCAAAUAAGUAACGCCAUGGUGGUUGUCAGGAAUAUAGGAGGGAGAGAAAUAAGUAGGGAGCAUCGACUUAAUGGUUAAAGUGUUUUCUUUUGGGGUGAUGAAAAUGUUUUGAAACUAGAGAGAUGGAGCACACAACAUUGUGAAUAUGCUAAAUGUCACUGAAUAGAUUAUUUUUAUUUUUAUUUUGUUGGUGUUUUUGGUAUAGUGUCUCACUACGUAGCUUUGUCUGCCCUGGAACUCCCUAUGUAGAUUAUGCUGGCCUCAAACUCAGAAAGAUCUGCCUGCCUCUGCCUCUGCCUCCCAAGUGCUGGGAUUAAAGGUGUGUGCCAUUAUGCCUGGCUGAGAUUACUUUAACAUGGUUAAUUAUGCAACUGAAAGCAAGUGGUGUGCCUGUGGUUCCAGCACUUGAGAGGCUGAGCCAGGAGGAUUGUUUGAAUCCUGGAGUUCAGGUCCAGACUGAGCAUCAGAGAGAAGCUACCUCAAUAAAAUAAGAAUAAGUUAAAUGGUUAGCUUUUACAUCAAAUUAAGAAUAUUGUGCGCAGCAAAUGGAACACUCAUCAGAAUAAAAAGGCAACAUAGAGAGUGGAAGAAACUUUUGGUAUUAUCUGACAGUGAUUUACUAUUCAGACUAUAUAAGGCUUCAAGAAAUGAAACUGGUACUGCCAUAUGAACCACCAGCACCCUUUCUGGGUGCAUAUUCAGGGAAACAGAAACAGUGUAAUGAAAAGACAUCCAAAUUGCUAUGCUUAUUGAAACACUGUUCACAAUCUGCAAAAUCUGGAAUCGACUUAAAUGUCCAACAAUGAAUAAAAAGGGAAAGAGCUGCGUGGUGGUGGUGCAUGCCUUUAUUUCUAGCCCUCAAGAGGCAGAGGUAGGCUGAUCUCUUCUGAGUUCAAAGCCAGCGUGGUCUACAGAGCGAGUUCCAAGACAGUAAAGGCUGUUCCACAGAGAAACGCUGUCUUGAAAAACAAAAAAAAAUUUUUUUCUAUAUGGGCACAUGAUGAAAUACUGUCUACUCAUGGAAAAAAAGGAAAUCAUAUCAUUUGUGUCAAAAUGAAUGGAAGUGGAUUUGAUGAUGCUAAAUGAAAUAAGCCAAUCACAUAAAGACAAAUACCACAUGAUGUCACUCAUAUGGAUUCUGAAAAAAUUGAAGUCACAGAAGUUUGCAAGUAGGGUAGUAGUUAGCAGAGGUUGGAGAAUAGGGGUGGGGAGAGUUAAGGACAAGGUACUCAGGUACAGGAGCAUAAGAGAAUAUUCUUGCAUCUUACUACACAAUAGUAAUUAUACUUAUUACACACAAGUAAGCCUUAUUUGAGAUGACAGAUACAUUUAACCUGAUUAUAUAGUGUACACAGGGAUUGAAGUGUCACAUGGUAUUCAAUUAAUACACAUAACUCUUUUUGUAUUAGUUAAAAGCACAAUAAAGUGAAAAGAACUUGGAUCCCUCAAAAAUGCUUUCAUAGUCAAAAGAACUUGACUAUUUCUUCCUGAUGCUAUCAAUAAUAAAUCCAAAUACUACAGAGAAAUAUAAAGAGGAAAGUAAAAUAAUCAUCCAUGGGAGAUACGGGAACCAGAGAGAGCAAGGACGGUUUAGAGGGAGGAGAAGGAAUGCGGAAAUGAUGUAAUUAUAUUAUAAUCUGAAAAAGAAAGGAAAUCAUUUUUAAAAGGUUAAGGGAAGCAAGGAGGUCCCUUCUUCACAACUUGGUACACCAGGCUACCUUCCAGGGAUUCUCUGUCUCUGUCUCUCAUCUCACCACAGGAGCACCGGGAUGACAGAUGCAUGCACUGUCGUGUCCUGCUUUGUAUGGGUUCUAGGGAACUAAACUUAAAUCUUCAUCCUUGGGCGGCAAGUGCUUUACAGCAAGCUACCUCUCCAGCUCUCCACUCUAUUCCUUGAGACCAGAUUGCGUGUGAACCUGGAGAUCAGCGAUUUGCCUAAACGUGCUUGCAAGCAAGCCCUGAGGAGCCUUCUGCUUCUGCUUUCUCGGUACUGGCACCGCAGGUAUGUGCUACUGGGCUUAACUUUUACAUGGGUUCGGGGGAUUGAACUCAGGCCCACAUACCUGAUGGCCAAGGACUCUACUGUUUCAGCCAUCUCUCCAGCCACAGCACAUUAUAUGUAAGGAUGAAAAUGAUGUUCUCAAGAUGGAGUGCAACCCUUGCGAGUGCUUGUCUAGCACGAUUGAGCCCUGAGUUCAGUCCCCAUUACUGAAAAGAAAAUGGUAAAUGAUAAAAUGCCCUCAAAUUGGUAGGGGUAGAUGCACAACUCUGAAUAUAUUACUAUCAAAAGCUAUUUUCUGUAUACUUAUAAGAGGUAAGUCACUGCUAUAUAGAUUUUUAAACUUCAAGUAAUUUCAUUUUUAUUUAAAAAGUUUUUUCAUACAAUAUAUUUGACCAUAUUCUUCCCCUCAGCUCCUUCCAGAUCAUCCCUACCUCCCUGCUCACCCAAUUCCAUGUUCUCUCUCUCUCUCAAACCAACAAACAAACAAAAUGAAAAUCAAUGAGACAAAAAUGCCAAAACAAACAAAAAGUCCGCACACACACACACACACACACACUCACAAAACCCCAAAGCAUCAGGUGUAGCAGGAAUCUUAGAAGGUCUCGCCAACUUCUCAGCUGAUCCUGUAUCCUCAGCCUGGAAACCUCUGUGUCCUCAUCCGAAUGGAUCUCAGCUGAACUGCUGCUCAAAAGCCUGAAAGCUUAACCAGGCUCUAGUUCCUGGUCCUCAUGCCUUAUAUACCUUUCUGCUUUCUGCCAUCACUUCCUGGGAUUAAAGGCGUGAGUCACCAUGCCUGGCUGUUUCCAGUGUGGCUUUGAACUCACAGAGAUCCAGAUGGAUCUCUGCCUCCAGAAUGCUGGGAUUAAAGGUGUGUGUGCCACCAUUUUCUGGCCUCUAUGUCUAUCUAGUGGCUGUUCUGUCCUCUGUGCCCAGAGAAGUUUAUUAGGAUGCACAGGUCUGGUUUGUGUUGGCCCACUCCUGCGCUGGACUGUAGUUGAUAUGCUCAGUGUCACUGCACUGGAGAAAACUGAUUUUCCCUUUCCCGGCAGACAUCAAUUGCAAAUAGCUUCCUGCUUAGAAGUGCAACUUUGUGACCACCUCCCCUUUUCAGGGCUGGAAUUUUUCUGGUUUGAACUCAUGGAGACUGACAGUUAUACAUCUUUUUAAUAAAUACAUGAAAAAUAAACGUCCUCUCAAUACCAAUUGAACAACUCCAAUAAUCAUCUGCACGCAAAUCUUUGUAUCAGAGUCUAUUUCCAGGAAAACUCAGAUGACUUUUCAAGAACAUCUUCCUAAAUGAGCAAGGAAGAGGCAGCUCCAUUGAACACGAAGGGACGUAUAUUACUAGAAGAGUAAGGGAGAAGAAGGCAGAGCAACUGUUGACAAGGAAGAAGGGAAGACGCCUAGAGCUCAAGUGCUUUGUAGUCCACUAGAAAGAGACAAUCAUGGACUGAAAUCAUCAGGGAGAAGAGAUACAAAAGAAGAGAGAGCCAAGACUGCAAUAAGAGAAGCAAUCAAGGCCUCAAGGCACAGGGUCUAUAGAGGCGGGCUUGAGAAGGAGAAAGGACCAGUGCUGCUUUAGGGAUAGAGCUUAAGUGAAUGCUCCAUGGAGCCACCACAGACUGAAACUACACCAUUUAUGGAGGAUGGAGCUAAAGCCACCCAACAACUUCAGUGCAGACUUGGGAGGAGGAAAUGACCACCACGUUUCCAUGAGCGUAUGAUUUUCUGUUACCUUUUUGGACACAGAGCCUUUUCCCAGAAGCCCUUUCUUCUCAACACUUUCUCCUAGGACAGAAAAGCAGCAGCCCUAAGUCGUGGGAAGGACACCUCCCAAGUCGGGAGGGUUUCCAGGUCCCAGUUUCUACCAGCUAGAAGUUUGAUUUACCGGCACCAUCUGUGGGAAGACAAAUGGCCCCUUCUGGCUGUGCUGGCCAGAUGCAGAGAAGGAAGGAAAGAAGGGAAAAAAUGGAGGAAGGCAGAUUAGUAAAUCAAUAAAUAUUCAAGUGACAUAUAACGAAUGAACAAAUAGAAGUCCUCAUAGGAAGGUGGUGGAUGUCCUGAGAUGGUGAUGUUGAAUUGAAAGAGGUGACACUUUUUUAGCCCAAGGAUAAUCUCUUAAAUUCUGGCUACAAACAAUACAGUAUAACUCUUAUGGUUGCCAUGACAACGUGAAUCCCUCUCCUCUGAUGUCAGCUGGCUCUCCCUCCUCCUUUGGAAUCCGGAAUGCCAGUUUUCUUUCUGCUGUAAAUGUUGUGCCUGGUUUCAAGGACCCGGUGAUGGGCUCGCCUAAUAACUCUGUCUCUCAGGACUGUUUGUUCCAGAACCCUAAGGUCACAUUUUUUAUGGAAAAAAAGGGAGCCUGACAUGUGGAGGACUAGACCAGGGCAGACAGAUUGUUCCAGUUAGGCACGUCACCCAUUUCAACUGAUGUCAGGGCCAGCCUCUGACCAGUCUAAGGUGUACACACCUCUCCUCCCUCCACCUUACCCCGGGGCCACACUUGCCUUUAGGUGUGGGAUUAGGACUUAUGUUAGGGAGUAUGUUGAGGACUAUGGUACAGUUUGAAGUCCUUCUGCUGAAAGUCUCUCCCCCAGUUGGCUUGCCUGAAGCUCCUAUUAUUAGGAUCAUUUUCAUAGAUGAAAGCCUUGAAAAACAGCUGCCAAGUGAAAAUGCUCCCUCCCUAUGCAGGGUGUUAACAACCAGCUUGUAAUACUCAAGAAUGAAUUAUGAAGAGGUUACAGGGCUCUGGAGGGUCCAGGACACAGGUAGGUCAGUUUGGACGCAGGGUAACACCAGGGAUUCUGUAUCCACUAUCUUCACAGUUCUCGCAAGCCUAUCCUCCUUUUUUCCUAGUUCAGUCAGCUUGAAAGACAUUCUUUAUUAUUAUUAUUAUUGUUGUUGUUGUUGUUAUUGUUAUUUAACCACACACAUUUAUAAGGUGCAAUUUAGAUACUGCAUAAUGAUCAAGUCAGAGUUGCUAACAGCUGUACCUCUUUAAUCACAUUUUUAUUUUUAUUAGCAUGGUAAUUGUACAUGUUUAUGGAGUGCAGUGUGAUAUUUCAAUACAUAUAUGCGACAUGUACUGAUCAAGUCAUGGUAAUCAACAUUUCCCAUCUCGCUAUCACUAUUUUGUGUAUGGAGCCUUUGAGUACCUCUCUCCUUGUUAUUCAUAAAACACACAAUAGGUUAUUGUGAACUGUAAUCCUCUUGCUGUGCUAUAGAACAUGAGACCUUAUUUCAUCUAUCUAACUGUGUUUGGGUACCUGUUAUUAAACCUUUUUCUAGUCCAGCCUCUCGUGCCCUUCCCAACCUCUGGCAAUCACUCUUUUA